GGAGGAAAGCCGGGCCUCCCCGGGCCAGGGCUGGGGGCCCGCAGAGCCCGCCACGCGGCCUUACGCCCGAAGCGGCCGUUAGUCAGGCGAGGGGCCCCCGGCGGCCGCACGAAAUAAAGGCAAAUGGAAGUUUGCUGGUGGAAAACAGAGGUCAGGGGGGAGGGAGGUGUGAGGGGAGGGUAAUCCCUGGGGAAAGGGAGAGCGAGACACAGAAAAGUGCGCCCUGUCCCAGCCAAGAGGACCCUAAGCAGGCAUGAUAAAUACACGCAGUCUGGGAUCCUGGAUGGGAUCCUGGAACAGAAGAGGGAUAUUAGCCACACGACCUUACUGCUCCAGGAGUGUGCCAGGGAAUCCCCUGCCUCGGGGCCUCAGGGCUUCUGCACGUGCCAUUCCUUCUGCUUCUUGUGGAGGGAACAGCUGCACCCCGUGGCAUAUGAUGCAGAGGCAGGAGCUGUGACUGCAGCUAAACUCUUUGUGCUAUUAGGGCACAGCUCUGCCGAGGGAGUCAGCCACCAACCAUCGCCCUCAGCACGGGACUGAGAAAGCAUUCAGGUGGGCGUCCAUCAGUUCCCGAAAGACAUGCGGAGUCCAGCUCAGAGCACGUCCAGAUGCCGGUGCCACGAGUCAAUCCCUGGGAGUACCAGAGUUAAUGAUAACAAAAACUACAAAGUAAUAAUCAUUUAGUAGGUGCCAGGCACAAGGUUAAGCAUCAUCUUAUCUCAUUCUCUCAGUACUAUGUAGGUGCUACUGAAAUUACCCUUAUUUCAGAAAGAAGAAAGCGAAGCACAGGCCGGUAACAGGACCUGAACAAGGUAACAAUGGCAGGAAUGGGUUUGUAGCGUGGGCCUGGCUCACCGCUCACCCCACAGCCUCUGCUGCUGAGGACAGGCUGCACUGCUUCCCAAACAUGCAAAUCAUUUCAGGGAAUGUCGGAACACUGCCAUGAAGCAAAAGCUGAGGCCAGCCUGGACCACAGACCCAGAGAGAGACAGCUCUGCCUCAGAGGACGUUAUGAUCUGUGAGACCUGACUCAUUACAAUAUGGCCACCUCCUCCAUGAAACCCUCCCUGAUGUUCUCAAGCUGAGAGGGAGCACUCCCUGUCUGAACUCCUUUAGAACUUUCUGUGCCUCUCGAGGCAUCAUUCAUGUUUACAGCAUCAUUAAUAUUUGUACACAAGUUACAUCUGUCUUAUUGCACCAGUGCCUCUUAGAGGAAGGGAUGGGUCUCACCAGUCCCUAUCACAGCCAGCUAUAUGACGUGUCCUAAAAGCAAUCACGCUUUGGCAAAUGUCUUUUCUUUUGUUGGUAAAGAUCUUCCCCAGCAUUAACCUGAAAAACUCUGACUCAUUUACCAAGACCCAGCUCAAGUGUCCCCUCAUUUGUGAAGCCAAAAAUAACUUCCCCAGGCAGAGGUAGCAGCUCCUUUCUCUCUCCUACAGCACUUUAUCUCCUUAUUGUACCAUUCCUAUUGUAUCAUAGCUGUCUAUUUGCCCUCAUAUGACAAUGCCUGGAACGUAAUAGGUACGGGGUUAUUGAAUGAAUGAGUACACAAAUGGGUUGUAGGUAUUUAUUUUUCUACCACACCAGUCUGGGUAGAGGUAAGGGGGUGGUGACCCAAAAAAUGGAGGCCCCUUGAAGCCCCUUGGAGCCAAUAAAGACUUCUGGUUAACUCAUUUGCAAAUUCCAAAGGCAGACUAUGCCUGCAAUUCUGAUUUGACUUCCCAUAGUCUUUGUUGUGAUUUAAAAAAUAAGAUUAAACCUCUCCAGCAGCUGGUUCCUACCGGCUUUGGGGAGAUGAAAGUGUCAACAUGUCUGCAGCCACACCAGGAAACUUGCUGCCUAGAAAAAUCAGUUCUGAUUAUCAUAAGAGCUAAGUAUGAGAUGUUGUACUCAGGAACUGUUUCCAUAUUCCUGGGGCCACCGGGACCUGUCAGAGCCCCAGCAUCCCUAUUCAGCCUCCAGCCUCCUCUGUGCUGCCUACCAGUCUCUCUAUGGCUGGCCAGCUUAUGUUCAGGUGGCCAGAUUUCACCUUCCUGAAGUGGUAGGAAUAACUCCGGAAUGUGUUAAGAAACCUCACUGUGGGGGCAGCCUGCGUGGCCCAGCAGUUUAGCACCACCUUCAGCCCAGGGCAUGAUCCUGAAGACACGGAAUCGAGUCCCACGUCGGGCUCCCUGCGUGGAGCCUGCUUCUCCCUCUACCUGUCUCUGCCUCUCUCUGUGUCUCUCAUGAAUAAAUAAGUAAAAUCUUUUUAAAAAGGACUGCUUAAGAGCCACAAUCCUUCUUAAUGUAGAUUUCUGAUAUGAUCAUAUUUCCCCACAUUCCUAA